rnacentral:rRNA from 1 species
AUUGAACGCUGGCGGCAGGCCUAACACAUGCAAGUCGAACGAGUGGCGGACGGGUGAGUAAUGUCUGGGAAACUGCCCGAUGGAGGGGGAUAACUACUGGAAACGGUAGCUAAUACCGCAUACCAUCGGAUGUGCCCAGAUGGGAUUAGCUAGUAGGUGGGGUAACGGCUCACCUAGGCGACGAGCCCUAGCUGGUCUGAGAGGAUGACCAUCAACACGGGAAUCGGGAGACGGUCCAGCCUCUCACGGAAGGCAGCAGUGGGGAAAAUUGCACAAUGGGCGCAAGCGCGAUGCUGCCACGCCGUGUGUAGGAAUAGGGCCUUCGGGUUGUAGAGUACUUUCAGCGAGGAGGCGUUACCCGCAGGAGAAGCACCGGCGAACUCCGUGCCAGCAGCCGCGGUAAUUA